rnacentral:rRNA from 1 species
UGUUGACCUCGGAUCAGGUAGGAAUACCCGCUGAACUUAAGCAUAUCAAUAAGCCGGAGGA